GAGUAUCCCCGUGUUGUUGGGCUUCAAUUGCCGCUCUUCCAACCAACGCCCGUAUUUGAGGCGUCCCACCCACUCAGCUUUCGUGUGGUCACACAUGGUGGGUGGUGGCGAAAAGAGAAAGAUUUAACUUUUCCGUUUCCCCUGGCUUAAAGAAAGCAUAAAAAGUAGAAGAUCUUAGAUAUAAAAAAGUGGAAAGACAAAGCUAUCAAUCAUCGAAACGCCAACAAAUGGAUCCAUCUCUUUUAGCCGUCUGCCCCUCCCUCCUUGCUUUCUUUCCUGCUACUUAUCUCUACACCCUUAUGCUGCUACCACGUUAAUUCAAAACCAAAACUCUCUCUUUCUCAAUAUGAGUGUGUUAGGUAGUAGGCCAUAGCUCCCACUUAUUAACUCAUUUCUGCUUUUCUAACCACACAUACUUGUCUUUCUCUGUAUACAAUACCACAUGGUAUGGGCGUGCAUGUAUAUAUUUUACUAAAAUAAAACCCCAUCCACCAUUCAUCGUAUGUUGUUUCCUUUUUUGGUUAAACAAUACAAACUCGAGAUUCCUGCUUGCUUCUUUCUGUCUUCUUUCGUCUUCUUCUUCACUCCUAACUUUUGCUUGCUCUUCCAACUCCUGCACUUACAGUCGGACUUCUACACAAGCGUUGGAAGCUUCUACCCCUCGUCGAUUAGAUUCUGAAAAUUAAUUUUGUUGGAACAAAUGGAAGACGAAAACUCAGAUGCUUCUUCAAACAAAGCCCCCUCUGUUUCUCAGGUGGUAGAACAGUUGAAAGAGCUAUGGGGUAUGACCUUACCGGUAACUACCAUGAACUUCUUGGUAUUUCUUAGGCAGGUGGUCUCUGUCUUGUUUUUGGGCAGAAUUGGUAGCCUGGAGUUAGCAGGUGGUGCACUUGCAAUAGGAUUUACAAAUAUCACAGGCUAUUCUGUUAUGGUGGGUUUAGCCGCUGGGUUAGAACCCAUAUGCAGCCAAGCCUACGGAAGCAAGAAUUGGGAUCUCCUCUGUCUUUCUCUGCAACGCAUGAUCUUAAUCCUCCUCGUUGCAACCAUACCCAUCGCCUUUCUCUGGAUCAAUCUCGACAAUAUCAUGGUAUUUUUAGGCCAAGAUCCACAAAUCACAGGGAUGGCGGCUAUUUACUGUAUUUAUUCUCUUCCAGACCUUUUAACAAACACCUUGCUGCAACCAUUAAAAACAUUUUUAAGGUCACAAAAGGACACGAAACCCAUGAUGUAUUGCACCCUAGUAGCAGUUGGCCUUCAUGUGCCUCUGAACUACGUGAUGGUGGUGGUGCUGGGGCUGGGAACGCAAGGAGUGGCGAUAGCUUCGGUGCUAACAAAUAUGAACAUUGCGGGGUUGAUGUCAGGAUACGUGUGGGUAUGGGGGAGGAAAGGUGAGAUGAGAUGGACGUUGAAGGUGGGAGAGGUUUGUGGAGGCGUGGGGCCGGUGCUAAAAUUGGCUGUACCGAGUUGCUUGGGAAUAUGUUUGGAGUGGUGGUGGUAUGAAAUAGUGACAGUGUUGUCUGGUUAUUUGUCCAACCCAACGUCGGCUGUGGCCGCCACUGGGAUUCUCAUCCAAACUACAAGCAUGAUGUACACAGUACCCUUGGCUCUCGCUGGUUGCGUCUCCGCCAGGUUUUUCAGUCAUUAUCGGUCAUGGUCAACUGGUAAAACCCUUCAACUCGGUAAAAUUAUAUACCGACAAACUUGCACCAAUAACCCACGUCAGAUUCUAAUCCUAUAUUUUUUUUUGAUAUGGAACCUUUCAUUUUCAGCCGUCUCUUUCUCUUUUGUUUGGUUAUUUUGUUUUCUUACACGGAUGUUUAUGUACUCCAUAUCUUCAAAAAGGCAUGAGAUGCUUAAUGCGUUUUCCCACUUUCGAUUAGACUUUAGUGGUUCUUACCGUGAAGGAUGGUCUCCUUCCACCGCUGCUCCUGCACGGGUACUUCUCUCUAAAGGUACCACACUCUACUUUCCCUGUAUUUUAUACAAAUUGUUUUGCUCCUUCAUCUUCACCGCGAGAGCUCCCAUCAGUUAGUUAUCAAGCUCUGUUGCAAGAGCUUGCUUUUUUCUCCAGACCCACGUUCUAUCUCUACACUAUAGAUCUUUCAUCACUCAGCGGUUUAGGGGCCUUAUUUUUCCUCUCACUGAAUCAAUGUUUUACUAAUUCUAACACCAAUUUUGCGAUUCAUAUUUCCAGCAGUUUGAUUCAAGUUAAAGGUAUUUGUUCUUUAAAUUGAAAAGGGGGAAGUUAUUUUGUUCAUCUUUUUCAUCAGUAGGAGUUGGAUUCUUCAGUCGUUUUUGUUUACCCGUUGUUUUCGUGUUCGUGGUUCAUUUGUUGAGAGAAUUUCUUCAAAGCAGUUCCUUAUAGUUGAAAAUGAAUCUUGCUCUCUAAAUCGGGAGCUUGAACUAAUUAUGGGUGAUGACAAAGGUAUGUAAGCUGUAAAGGGCUUAUGCAGCAGCCUUCUAAUGUACGGGGGUUGGAGAACUGGGAAGGAGGUGGGUGUGCACGUGUACGGAGGGAUAGAGGUAGGGAACGAGCUGGGAAGUGGAAAGCCAAAGAAAGCGAAGGUUGCAGCGGUGGUGGCAUUGGGAUGUGCAUUUGUAAUAGGCGGAAUCAACGUGACGUGGACGGUGAUUCUGAGGCGCACAUGGGCCAGGCUUUUC